rnacentral:rRNA from 1 species
CCCUUAGAUGUUCUGGGCCGCACGCGCGCUACACUGAUGCAUUCAACGAGUCUAAAACCUGGUCUGAGAGGGCUGGGUAAUCUUUUGAGAGUGCAUCGUGAUUGGGAUAGAUGAUUGCAAUUCUUCAUCUUCAACGAGGAAUGCCUAGUAAACGCAAGUCAUCAGCUUGCAUUGAUUACGUCCCUGCCCUUUGUACACACCGCCCGUCGCUCCUACCGAUUGAACGAUCCGAUGAAAACUGUGGAUUGAGAGUCUGAGUGGGUUCGCCUACCUCAACUUUCGAGAAGCGGUUUAAAUCUUAUCGUUUAGAGGAAGGAGAAGUCGUAACA